rnacentral:rRNA from 1 species
UUCCUACGGGAGGCAGCAGUGAGGAAUAUUGGUCAAUGGCCGAGAGGCUGAACCAGCCAAGUCGCGUGAGGGAUGACGGCCCUACGGGUUGUAAACCUCUUUUGUCGGGGAGCAAGACCCGCCUCGUGCAGGCGGAGCGAGAGUACCCGAAGAAAAAGCAUCGGCUAACUCCGUGCCAGCAGCCGCGGUAAUACGGAGGAUGCGAGCGUUAUCCGGAUUUACUGGGUGUAAAGGGAGCGUAGGCGGCGAUGCAAGUCAGAAGUGAAAGCCCGGGGC